rnacentral:lncRNA from 1 species
GGAGAGUUUUCUUAUGUAAAAGUUAUACACACAUGGUAUUUGACAUAAGAUUAUUUCUUGCAUUUGGAAUUUAAUCAUCAUGAUCAUAUGCUGUGAAUAAAAGACACUUGAAAAAGAAAAAACUGUUAUUGUGUACAAACAUGGGUGGUAUUUCAGUAAAUAACUGGGUUGGUGUUUCUACAAACAAUUGUAAUCACGAAAACAGCUGAGUUGAUUACAACAAAUUAUCAUCCAAUAUUAUCAUUAUUAUUAAUUAAAAAAAGAAAAUGAAGAGGCAAAUUUUGAGCCAGAAUUUCCAUAAACAUGACAACAAAGAACAGACUGAAUUGAGUAAAUUCUGUUUACAUCAAUUAAGCAGCGCUUGAAAAUGAGUUUCAGACAAGUUUAAUUGCCAUCGUUAAUAGAGCAUUAAAAACAGCGCUUACGAAUAAGUUUCUUUUACUACGAUUAAACACUACUUAAAAAGAACGUUUCAGUCAAGUUUAAGUUCUAUUAAAUGUAACUUAAACGAAUGUGUUGGUUUAAACACAUUUAAUGUCACCUUAAACCGACAUUAAGGUUUAACCUUAAGGUGGUAUAAGCUAUGUUCAAGUGAAAAUUAAACCUAGGUUUAAGUGUCUUAAACAUCAACUUAAAUCGACUAAACUUGAGUUUAAGACAUGUUUAAUCCAUGUUUAAGAAGACUUAAAUAGUUUCUUUUGUCCUUGUGUUAAUUUUAGACAAAAUAAUGUCACCCACCAUCACAGUAACCGCUAGCGCAUGAGUCUGCACCUUCUUGCUCCCAAAACUAACUGGGCAAAACAGAAAAUUACAUAUCAAGCAGCUUUCGAUUUUAACCUUCUAAGUCCUGAAAUACAGGAAACUAAACCUAUUUUGGUGUUAUCAGAAAUUACUUUUCAAAAAGAAAUUGGAAGGUAUGCUUUAAUUGUAUUAUAUUUUGAUUUUAUUAUAUGUUAAUUUGUUAGUUACUUAUUAGGUUGUAACAUUCUUUACAGGGCCGUUCUGGAAACCACUUUAUGUAUGACCGCCCCCUUUAUAAAUAUCAUUAUCAUUAUCAUUAUCAUUAAUUGCUCUGCUGAUAUAGCUUUGGAUGCGUAAUCAUCUCAUAGCUCGAAAAUUCUUAGUUUGAGAGCGACGGUACGUUUGCCUUUGAAUUCGUUGUAGCUUACAAACAGAGACCAGUCUUACUUGUAUUGUGAAUAGUUUGGCUUCACUGUGGAGGUGCUGAAUCAGGAUGUGGAACGGAAUAUGCACUCUUCCCACGCCGCAGCUGUUAAGGCCGUUAUGCCAGCCCUCUAAAUCAUUAUUUGUGCGGACGGUUUGUCCUUAGACUUCCAGAAAAGUCCUUCGUCUUGUUUAUUCCGUACCUGCCAGACGAGUAACUUUUCCUAUUCGCUUGGAGCCAGACGAUUCAAACUCUUCAGGGCUAAAAGCCGUUGAUGAUUUUACAAAAGAGAGAAAGAAAGAUUUUACCCAAUCUUUCUUUCUUUCCCUCGGUCGGGGGGGGGGUGGAAGAGAGAUUGGGUAGAGUGAAACGAACAUUUUCAAACGGCACUAACAACCUAUUAACACCCAUGUCAUCUUACAAAGGCCGAUGACAUUUUACUCCUCUGGUAAUUUGUAAGUACAUUUCAGAACUUUUCCGGAAAGCAUUGUGGAUGUUGGCUAACUGUCAUAUACGAACUGAUCCAGGACACUGGCGAAUUGACUUCAUACGUUGGCGAAUUGGUCGUUGGCGAACCAGUGAUACAUUGGCGAAACGACCGGUUACCACCUCGACAGGUAUAUUAAAGAAGGAAAUAUAGAAAAUGGAACACAUUCAGGCACCAGCUAGUCCCUAAUUUGCGUUAGUAAAACUUCAGGCGAACUACCUUUUGGUCGGGGCGAAUCGACCUUUUUGGGGGGGGAGGGGGAAGGUCGAGACCGGACUUUGAGUCGGGACGAAACCACUUUGAGUUGAAACGGUUCUGGGCGAAACGGACCUGGGAAACGACCGCAAUUCAAACCAACACAAAAUUAGGUUUGCGUUCUACUAUUUUGUACCGCACGUCUCAACACGCUCUCAAUUUCGGGACGGGUAUGAUUAAUUAACAAAUUUCCUUUCUAGAGCCAAAGCUCAGAAGGAAAUUCCAGGGUUGUUUUUCAGCGCUUUAAAUUACUUUUGAGUCUGAAUUCUGUUAUUUUCAGCGUGUGAGUUUUAGAACCGCCGCACUCGUUUGAACUGAGUGAUCGGUCAUGCGGAGUGAAGAAUGUUAAUGACGAAUGUGAACCCUUUUACUACAGACUUACCUUUGGCCACAGGUAUAACAGACCUCACGAGUUUCAUUCUUGGGCUGCCAGAUCCACUUGAAGCCCGCGUUAUAACUUUGCAGCGGUAGAUUUUGAGAUGAGUCCGCUGGUCGUAAUUGCGUUUUGCGUUCCAUCACGUGAGAGCGAAGCUUUUCGAUCUGUGGUUACGUGGCCGCAGGUUUUGUCCAUUUGUUAUAAAUUUCGACAGUACGUGUGGCGAAUAUGCUAUAAAGGUCAUCGUCGGAAACAGACCGAUAUACUGUAUCUUCAAGACGAUUUUGAGGUUUUUUCGCGUGACGGUUUGGUGUAACACACUAGAUACAGCGGUACUGAUUGUUGGCGCUUUCCACCAACCUAGCGGAGAACUUUGACAGUUGCCUCAGGUUAGUUUUUAUUUUUUUGUUUAGUUUAUUUGUUUCAUUGAUGAAAUAUUAUGAUGAUUAUUUAACAACGGACCUAUGAGUAUUAAACGGUUAACUCAAAGGUCAUGGCACUCUAUUUACGGUAUUAAAUUCUUGACAGGAAAACGUCAAGGGGUAGAUUGUUCACUAUAUACUGUCAUAUUUAAAUGUGUCGAACUUCACCGUAAGUUAAAUUGAUCAACAGAUUCUCGAGCUGUCAUUUGCGAAUAUUUCGAUCAAGUGUUCUGUUUUGUCAGACAUUUUCUUGACCACAAAUUUCCCGCUCUUUAUUUGAUGUUGUGUCGGCCGGUCGCGUCCUCAAAAAGCGCGGGAAUUUUGCCGCGCGUGUUUCAAUUUUCCGGCUCAAUGAUUACGACUUGUUUGGUUUCUUGCGGAAUGCCAAAACAAAGGUAGUGCAUUUAAUUGUCGGGUUUUGCUUUGUUUUGCUAUUAAUAAAUGUUAUUUUCAAGGCAAUUGGCUUCAGCUGCUAGCUAAAUAUAUUCGUUUUUCUAUGUUUGAAGAAGCACAGUUGUUCGUCGAUCAAAACCGAGAGUUGUUGUCUGGCCAGAAGCAGAUGAGGAGGAAAAAAGGUAGCUUGCUUUCGCCAAUUCAGUUUUUCCUGAUUUGGUUUUAUCAUUUAAAAAGGAAACACUUAAGGAAUUUUUCGUCUUAAAAAAUCAAUACAUUUCAGAAGCCCAGAAGAAAAAAGACAACAAGAGGAAGAAGAAUUGAGAAGAAGGGAAGAGUUAAAGGAAAGACUGGAAAGAGAAAGGCUAAAGAAAUUAACCAAAAAAAAGAAAAUAAAUUUGUGAAAUUAAACUUGUCAAAUGACAAUAAAUUUGUAAACAACUGAUCCAUACAGCUGUAACUGUG